AGAGGACCUGUUGUAAACAGGCGAGUUGUUGUGAACCGGAACUUUGGUGAGAGGAUUGGUGGACCACCUCAGAAGAGAUUCAACACUGGAAAUGCAUAUAACAGGUGAGAAUAUUGGUCUAGAUUUUGUGUGUGAAGCUUGCAAGAGUUCAUAACUUGUUAAUAUUUUUUAGGAAAGUGGGAACAAAAUUUAUGUCUUCAAAAUAUGCCUGCAAAGUGCAUCAUAUUUUAGUUUUUCAGAGUUAAAUAAUGAUUUAUUUGCCCAUUGAGUGGCAGCACUCUCCGCUUGACGAGUAAAACUGUCAGGCGUUGGACAGAGUAAACUACUAAAGUAGGGUGCAUCAGGGUGCAUUGCCACUUAAAGGGUUAAAAUGCCACAGGGUUUUAUUCGAGCAUUGUGCCUUAAUUUAAAAAAAAUUGUGAAUGGAUUUUUUGUCUAUAAUUUGUACCCUGCAUAUAUUUUUUUAGCCAGGAUUUUGAAAGAGGGGAGGGGGUUUGAGAAAAUGCUCCCGGCCUCUGGAAAACCUUUGAAGUCUGAGACUCAGUAUUAGAAGUUUAUGUUACUUCAUGUCAGUCAUAGGUUGGCAUUGCCAUAUGCCGACCUUGUUUUCAAGGGCUGCAGUAACAACCCUCUUAGCUCCUCCCCCUCCUAACCUCCCCCAUGCAAUAUUAUGCAAGCAUUGUCAAAAUCUCUCUAUAUUCAAGACUUGGACCUCGAGUGGGUGACAGAACCAAUCGACGUUUUGGACAACUGGAGAGUGACGGCGAAGAAGAGGAGGAUGAUGGCAAGAAAGUAUGGGAUAACUUAGUACAUAUGUGUACAUUGAUGUAUUAGAAAUA